AGCCGAGUGGCGCAGUGGAAGCGUGUUGGGCCCAUAACGUCAGAGAUCGUGCGUCGAAACCACGCUCUGCUU